AUAUCUGUUAAAACCAGAUCAUUUUGAACUAAAACGCUAGCAAUUAAAAUCUUAUAAUUACCAAUAUUAAUUAAUACUACAACUAAAACAUUUUUAAACCCAAGUAUCUGUGAUAGAACGGAAUCAAUAUAGCAAUAGAAAAAGUACCGCAAGGAAAAGCUGAAAAAGAAAUUAAAAAACCCAUUAAAGUACAAAAUAGCAGGAACUAACUUCCGUACCUUUUGCAUCAUGAUCUAGUUAGUCAACCGGAGCAUAAAGAAUUUAAAGUUUCCCCCCCCGAAACUAGACGAGCUAUUUUAUAGCAGCUAAUCGAGCUAAUCCGUCUCUGUAGCAAAAGAGUGGAAAGACUAUUAAAUAGAGGUGACAUGCCUAUCGAGCCUAGUAAUAGCUGGUUGCUUAAUAAAUGAGUAUAAGCUCUACCUUAAAUCUUAUUAUAAUAAAAACAAUAAUAAUAAAAACUUAAGAGCCAUUCAUAAGAGGUACAGCCCUUAUGAAAAAGGAAACAACCUACAACCAUGGGUAAUGAUUAUAUACAACAAGAUCUUAUUUAACCUAGUGGACUUAAAAGCAGCCAUCUACUACGAAAGCGUCAUAGCUCUAUAUUUAAGCCUUAUUAAAUCAAUAACCCCAAUAAUUUUAUCAAAACCCAUAAAACUUCUUAAGCCUACCAAAUAUUUUUAUAAUCGCGAUAAUGCUAGAACUAGUAAUAAGAAAACAUAAUUUUCUCUUCCGCUUCAGUGUAAACUAGAUUAGACAUCCUACUAGUAAUUAACAAAUAAAUUUAACAUAAUAAACUAGACUAUAAUUAAAAUUUA
rnacentral:rRNA from 1 species